rnacentral:rRNA from 1 species
CAGAAACUACAAAGGAAGUUGAGGGGGCCCGCACAAGCGGAGGAGCAUGUGGUUUAAUUCGAUGAUACGCGAGGAACCUUACCUGGGCUCGAACGUAAGAUGACUGUAGGUGAAAGCUUACAUCUCUUCGGAGCAUUUUACGAGGUGCUGCAUGGUUGUCGUCAGCUCGUGCCGUGAGGUGUCGGGUUAAGUCCCAUAACGAGCGCAACCCUACCUUUAGUUGCCAUCAGGUAAUGCUGGGGACUCUAAAGGAACUGCCUACGCAAGUAGUGAGGAAGCGGGGAUGACGUCAAAUCAGCACGGCCCUUACGUCCAGGGCUACACGCGUGCUACAAUGGCCGAUACAGAGGGCAGCUACCUGGUGACAGGAUGCAAAUCUCCAAAGUCGGUCUCAGUUCGGAUCGGAGUCUGCAACCCGACUCCGUGAAGUUGGAUUCGCUAGUAAUCGCGCAUCAGCCAUGGCGCGGUGAAUACGUUCCCGGGCCUU